rnacentral:rRNA from 1 species
UGGGGAAUUUUGGACAAUGGGCGAAAGCCUGAUCCAGCAAUGCCGCGUGUGUGAAGAAGGCCUUCGGGUUGUAAAGCACUUUUGUCCGGAAAGAAAUCCUUGGCUCUAAUACAGUCGGGGGAUGACGGUACCGGAAGAAUAAGCACCGGCUAACUACGUGCCAGCAGCCGCGGUAAUACGUAGGGUGCAAGCGUUAAUCGGAAUUACUGGGCGUAAAGCGUGCGCAGGCGGUUUGCUAAGACCGAUGUGAAAUCCCCGGGCUCAACCUGGGAACUGCAUUGGUGACUGGCAGGCUAGAGUAUGGCAGAGGGGGGUAGAAUUCCACGUGUAGCAGUGAAAUGCGUAGAGAUGUGGAGGAAUACCGAUGGCGAAGGCAGCCCCCUGGGCCAAUACUGACGCUCAUGCACGAAAGCGUGGGGAGCAAACAGGAUUAGAUACCCUGGUAGUCCACGCCCUAAACGAUGUCACUAGUUGUUGGGGAUUCAUUCCUUAGUAACGUAGCUAACGCGUGAAGUUGACCGCCUGGGGAGUACGGUCGCAAGAUUAAAACUCAAAGGAAUUGACGGGGUCAUAGCUGUUUCC